rnacentral:rRNA from 1 species
UACAGAGGUCCCAAGCGUUGUUCGGAUUCAUUGGGCGUAAAGGGUGCGUAGGCGGCGCGGGAAGUCGGGUGUGAAAUCUCGGAGCUUAACUCCGAAACUGCAUUCGAUACUGCCGUGCUUGAGGACUGGAGAGGAGACUGGAAUUUACGGUGUAGCGGUGAAAUGCGUAGAUAUCGGGAGGAACACCAGUGGCGAAGGCGGCGAUCUGGGAAGAUACUGACGCUGAGGUGCGAAAGCGUGGGGAGCAAACAGG